AGACGAUGGGGGCAUACUUGGCUGACUGCCAUUAUACUAUCCUCAUAGUAUGAACAGUUUUUCAAAAAUUGUCA
rnacentral:tRNA from 3 species